UACGGAGGGAGCUAGCGUUGUUCGGAAUUACUGGGCGUAAAGCGCACGUAGGCGGCUUUUUAAGUCAGGGGUGAAAUCCCGGGGCUCAACCCCGGAACUGCCCUUGAAACUGGAGAGCUAGAAUCUUGGAGAGGCGAGUGGAAUUCCGAGUGUAGAGGUGAAAUUCGUAGAUAUUCGGAAGAACACCAGUGGCGAAGGCGACUCGCUGGACAAGUAUUGACGGCUGAG
rnacentral:rRNA from 1 species